UUUAUGGAGAGUUUGAUCCUGGCUCAGAGUGAACGCUGGCGGCGUGCCUAAUACAUGCAAGUCGAACGAUGAGGCUUCUAGCUUGCUAGAAGACUGAUUAGUGGCGCACGGGUGAGUAACGCAUAGGUUAUGUGCCUCUUAGUUUGGGAUAGCCAUUGGAAACGAUGAUUAAUACCAGAUACUCCCUACGGGGGAAAGAUUUAUCGCUAAGAGAUCAGCCUAUGUCCUAUCAGCUUGUUGGUAAGGUAAUGGCUUACCAAGGCUAUGACGGGUAUCCGGCCUGAGAGGGUGAACGGACACACUGGAACUGAGACACGGUCCAGACUCCUACGGGAGGCAGCAGUAGGGAAUAUUGCUCAAUGGGGGAAACCCUGAAGCAGCAACGCCGCGUGGAGGAUGAAGGUUUUAGGAUUGUAAACUCCUUUUGUUAGAGAAGAUAAUGACGGUAUCUAACGAAUAAGCACCGGCUAACUCCGUGCCAGCAGCCGCGGUAAUACGGAGGGUGCAAGCGUUACUCGGAAUCACUGGGCGUAAAGAGCGCGUAGGCGGGAUAGUCAGUCAGGUGUGAAAUCCUAUGGCUUAACCAUAGAACUGCAUUUGAAACUACUAUUCUAGAGUGUGGGAGAGGUAGGUGGAAUUCUUGGUGUAGGGGUAAAAUCCGUAGAGAUCAAGAGGAAUACUCAUUGCGAAGGCGACCUGCUGGAACAUUACUGACGCUGAUUGCGCGAAAGCGUGGGGAGCAAACAGGAUUAGAUACCCUGGUAGUCCACGCCCUAAACGAUGGAUGCUAGUUGUUGGAGGGCUUAGUCUUUCCAGUAAUGCAGCUAACGCAUUAAGCAUCCCGCCUGGGGAGUACGGUCGCAAGAUUAAAACUCAAAGGAAUAGACGGGGACCCGCACAAGCGGUGGAGCAUGUGGUUUAAUUCGAAGAUACACGAAGAACCUUACCUAGGCUUGACAUUGAGAGAAUCCGCUAGAAAUAGUGGAGUGUCUGGCUUGCCAGACCUUGAAAACAGGUGCUGCACGGCUGUCGUCAGCUCGUGUCGUGAGAUGUUGGGUUAAGUCCCGCAACGAGCGCAACCCCCUUUCUUAGUUGCUAACAGGUUAUGCUGAGAACUCUAAGGAUACUGCCUCCGUAAGGAGGAGGAAGGUGGGGACGACGUCAAGUCAUCAUGGCCCUUACGCCUAGGGCUACACACGUGCUACAAUGGGGUGCACAAAGAGAAGCAAUACUGCGAAGUGGAGCCAAUCUUCAAAACAUCUCUCAGUUCGGAUUGUAGGCUGCAACUCGCCUGCAUGAAGCUGGAAUCGCUAGUAAUCGCAAAUCAGCCAUGUUGCGGUGAAUACGUUCCCGGGUCUUGUACUCACCGCCCGUCACACCAUGGGAGUUGUGUUUGCCUUAAGUCAGGAUGCUAAAUUGGCUACUGCCCACGGCACACACAGCGACUGGGGUGAAGUCGUAACAAGGUAACCGUAGGUGAACCUGCGGUUGGAUCACCUCCUUU
rnacentral:rRNA from 1 species